rnacentral:rRNA from 1 species
GCUCCUGAGGUGAGGGCCUUCGGGCUCGACCUCCACCCUUUGUGAACACAACUUGUUGCUUCGGGGGCGACCCUGCCGUUUCGACGGCGAGCGCCCCCGGAGGCCUUCAAACACUGCAUCUUUGCGUCGGAGUUUAAGUAAAUUAAACAAAACUUUCAACAACGGAUCUCUUGGUUCUGGCAUCGAUGAAGAACGCAGCGAAAUGCGAUAAGUAAUGUGAAUUGCAGAAUUCAGUGAAUCAUCGAAUCUUUGAACGCACAUUGCGCCCCUUGGUAUUCCGAGGGGCAUGCCUGUUCGAGCGUCAUUUCACCACUCAAGCCUCGCUUGGUAUUGGGCGCCGCGGUGUUCCGCGCGCCUCAAAGUCUCCGGCUGAGCUGUCCGUCUCUAAGCGUUGUGAUUUCAUUAAUCGCUUCGGAGCGCGGGCGGUCGCGGCCGUUAAAUCUUUCACAAGGUUGACCUCGGAUCAGGUAGGGAUACCCGCUGAACUUAAGCAUAUCAAUAAGCGGAGGAAGG